CAGCAAGUAGUUUACUAAGAAUUUAAGUUUUGGGAAUUUAAGGAGGGAUAAAUUAUUAUCUUUUUGCUGA
rnacentral:tRNA from 2 species